UCAGGCCUAACACAUGCAAGUCGAGCGGGGGAGCAAUCCCUAGCGGCGGACGGGUGAGUAACGCGUGGGAACGUGCCCUUUGCUUCGGAAUAGCCCCGGGAAACUGGGAGUAAUACCGAAUGUGCUCUUCGGAGGAAAGAUUAUCGGCAAAGGAUCGGCCCGCGUUGGAUUAGGUAGUUGGUGGGGUAAUGGCCUACCAAGCCGACGAUCCAUAGCUGGUUUGAGAGGAUGAUCAGCCACACUGGGACUGAGACACGGCCCAGACUCCUACGGGAGGCAGCAGUGGGGAAUCUUAGACAGGGGGCGCAAGCCUGAUCUAGCCAUGCCGCGUACUUGAAGGAGGCCUUAGGGUUGUAAAGCUCUUUCGUGGGGGAAGAUAAUGA
rnacentral:rRNA from 1 species